CUAUACAUGACUCUGCGCAUAUCAAUAAGCGGAGGAAAAGAAACUAACAAGGAUUCCCUUAGUAACGGCGAGUGAAGCGGGAAGAGCUCAAAUUUGAAAUCUUAAAGGGUUUCCCUUUACGAAUUGUAGUUUAAAGAAGUGUUUUCUGUUGAGGUUUUGGUAAAAGUUCUUUGGAAUAGGACAUCAUAGAGGGUGAGAAUCCCGUAUUUGACCAUUAUUUUCAGCUUUGUGAUACACUUUCAAAGAGUCGGAUUGUUUGGGAAUGCAGUCCAAAAUGGGUGGUAAAUUUCAUCUAAAGCUAAAUAUUGGCGAGAGACCGAUAGCGAACAAGUACCGUGAGGGAAAGAUGAAAAGAACUUUGAAAAGAGAGUUAAACAGUACGUGAAAUUGUCAAAAGGGAAGCGUUUGACACCAGUGUUGUUUUUCUGAAAAUCAAUUAAAGAACUGUUUAUGCUAAGUUGUUUAGACUUUAUCAGCUAACUGUUUAGUUUUGAGCUUUUCUUUAAUGCACUUUUCAGUUAACAAGUCAACAUCAGUUUCUUUUGUUGUAAAAGGGUCAUUGGAAGGUGGCUUUCUUUUCGGAGAAAGUGUUUAUAGCCCUUGGCCUCUGCAAUCGGAGAGACUGAGGUCUGCAGCGUAGACUCUUCGGGGUUAGAUACAUUUGUGCUAAGCUAUAGCUUUUUAUAGACAACUUGUUGACUAUAAUUAGUCUUGUAGCUUACUCGCUUAUGCUAUUUUACCUACGCUUAGGAUGUUGACAGCAGUAUAGACUGU
rnacentral:rRNA from 1 species